UGCUGCUGCAGAGCCCGGGACUGCCGGGAGAAGCCCGCGGAGUCGAGAUGGGGCGGGACCGAGGUGGAGGGAGCGCAGGAUUACAGAGCGCCACUCGCAAGGAAGGAGCCGCUGCACUCCACAGGUGCCUCCCUGGCUGCGAGGUCAAAUAAGCCUUCUGGAGCUUGACCCUGACUGCUACGAGAAGCUGGGAGCCAGGGUGUUUGUUGGACUGGAGAGUACUGCGAGAAGCAUCGCUUCCUAGGAAUGUGAGGCUCCGGGCUCCCCUUUCUGGACGGAAAUGCGCGAAGUUCAGUGACCCGGUGCUGAGUUCCUUCGUGUCAACGAACUCGCAACAUUCGAGAGUACCCUCUCUUUACAUAGAAACCCCGCUAGACUUAAAGUCAGCCUCCCAGACAGUUCUCAUUGUUUCUUCCAAAGCCGAGGUUGGAGGAGAAAGGACACUAAAAGGCGGCGGUUCCUGGGACCUCUGUGCCAAUCUGAUGUCCACUCUCAUCCCUUAGUGUGGGGGCACGCGACUGCGGUGCCCUCAAGCCCCUGAGCUGUAUCCCCCGAGAACAGAUUCCCUAAACUCCCAGAACAAAUCCCUUCUGAAACAUUAAUCACUAGGAGCAGCGAAUGCAAACUGUACUGUAUGCCCAUGCGGGGUCUGUCUUUUAAUCCCGCUGGUAAUUCUGUAAAACAGCACCAGAAAGGACUCUAUUAAUCCCUUACGUGAGUGAAUGCGAUCUCUGACCUACUGGGCUUGUUUCCCUGCACUCUCAUGAAGCAUUGGUCUAGAUACAGAUACACAAGGAGAACCAAAGCUAUUCAGGCUCGUCAUUUGUCCAGGAGCCUAACAGCGGUGCCCUUUCUCUGCGGCUGCUUUCCCUGCUUCGGUAGCAGCAGUUAUGGUAGAAGCAGAUGGCUGCUGAUUGGGGGAGUUUUGUGGCUCUAAUGCUGAAUACUUUAUGGAAAAGGACUUGAUCAUGCUUCAUUGGGCGGAGGAACAAGGGGAUGAGAUUUAUGGCCAGGAAAAAUAAAUCUUUUUCCAAG